rnacentral:rRNA from 1 species
GUGCCAGCAGCCGCGGUAAAACCAGCACCUCAAGUGGUCAGGAGGAUUAUUGGGCCUAAAGCAUCCGUAGCCUGCUUUGUACGUUUUCGGUUAAAUCCAUCAGCUUAACUGAUGGGCCGCCGAAAAAACUGCAAAGCUAGGGAGUGGGAGAGGUAGACGGUACUCGAUAGGAAGGGGUAAAAUCCUUUGAUCUAUUGAUGACCCCCUGUGGCGAAGGCGGUCUACCAGAACACGUUCGACGGUGAGGGAUGAAAGCUGGGGGAGCAAACCGGAUUAGAUACCCGGGUAGUCCCAGCUGUAAACGAUGCAGACUCGGUGAUGCCCUGGCUUGUGGCCAGUGCAGUGCCGCAGGGAAGCCGUUAAGUUUGCCGCCUGGGAAGUACGUACGCAAGUAUGAAACUUAAAGGAAUUGGCGGGGGAGCACCACGAGGGGUGAAGCCUGCGGUUCAAUUGGAGUCAACGCCAGAAAUCUUACCCGAAGAGACAGCAGAAUGAAGGUCAAGCUGGAGACUUUACCAGACAAGCUGAGAAGUGGUGCAUGGCCGUCGCCAGCUCGUGCCGUGAGAUGUCCUGUUAAGUCAGGUAACGAGCGAGAUCCCUGCCUCUAGUUGCCACCAUUACUCUCAGGAGUAGCGGGGCGAAUUAGAGGGACCGCCACAGUUAAUGUGGAGGAAGGAAGGGGCCACGGCAGGUCAGUAUGCCCUGAAACUUUGGGGCCACACGCGGGCUGCAAUGGUAGUGACAAUGAGUUUCCUAAUCCGAAAGGAGGAGGCAAUCUUCAAACGCUACCACAGUUAUGAUUGAGGGCUGCAACUCGCCCUCAUGAAUAUGGAAUCCCUAGUAACCGCGUGUCAUUACCGCGCAGUGAAUACGUCCCUGCUCCUUGCACACACCGCCCGUC